rnacentral:rRNA from 1 species
GCUUUAUAUUUAUCUUUACUUUAAUUUAUUUGGAAGGAGUGUAAUUUUGUAAAGAGAAUAUUUCGUUGGGGUGACGGGAAGAUAAGGUAAACUCUUCUUAAAAUAGAACAUAGAUGUAUGGUUUAAAUGAUCCAUUAUUAGUGAUUAAAAGACUAAGU